AGUUCUCCUUCCCAGGUAACCACUGGUCUACUUCCUGUUAUUACAGAUGCAUUUGUAUUUCAUCUAAAUGGAAUCAUCCUAUCUUGCUGAUUACAAAUAAAGCUGCUGUGAAUGUUCAUGAC